CUGUGUAACAGCCCUAGCUGUCCUGGAACCCGAUUUGUUGAGAUUAAAGGCACGCCCACCAUGCUCAGCUUUGGACGGGCUUUCAUGUGCUGUCUAUUCACAGUCUGCUGUAUGCACAUCUGCCUUGGGCAUUUAUUGCUAGCAGUUGUAUGACAGUGAGUGUGCCCCACCAGAUAACCCAGAAAGGUCAGUCAUCCCCAAAGCUACGCUGCUUGCAAAUUGGUCUUCAGGGGAGUACUACUGUCAGACACUGAAAUCUACAGCACCGCAGAUAGACCCACACCUUCUGACUCCAGUGAACAGAGACAAAUUUAAUGCAGGUGGCCGCAAGAAUGGACACUGACCUGGGGUCACCUCAUAUUCAAGUUUAAAAAGCCACCCUCCAGAAGUUAUCUCUCUUCAAUUUCAAACCCUCUCCACAUUGCCAGCUGUGACUAUGGACCAUCUCCCUAACUCAGUCCCUCCCUGGCACCACUGUCAGCCUGUGGCUUCAUUCAGACCCUUGUCAUCUCUACCUGGUCCCACUGUGACAGGUUUUUUCCUUCUCCUGUGGACUCUUGCCCAGCCACAGGUUUGAAAUUUCUUGAAUAUAAAUAGGAUCACACAAUUUCUCUACUCAGCUAUGGUUGACAGGGCCUGGACAUUCUGGACUCUGCCAUUUUUCUUCCCAUUUCUUGGCCUCGUUCUCCCAUCAGUCACUCGUUCCCUCAUUCUCUGAUCCAUGCAUUAAUCUUGCUCUGGGAUACUGAAGAUGCAAGUGAUAAAAUAGACAAGCAACCCCUCUACCACAAAAGAGUUCCAGGACGCUUGACUUAAGCUUCUCCGUGGGAUCAAAUAAACACACUGAGAAUAUGAUGACUGUGAACAGAAAUGUUUGUGGAAUGCUUUCUGUUCCUGGCACUGUUUAAAGUACAAGUUAAGCCAUGAGUCUGCACAUUAAUCUUGAAAGAUUGACAACAUGAUGGAGCAAAUGAGUUAAAAAUGUCUUAACUUCCGAGGAGUCAUGGCUUUGGAGAGGAAAGAAGGGUCGUUCAAAUAAUGAAAGAGGGAAGAUUAAGUGACUCCUAUGGAGUGGAUUUAAUUUCAGGGGCAACUGAAUUCUCUGGAGACCUGGUGACUUUCGCUGAGAUGACUUUUCGGAGGAACUCCAGCCUAGCAUACUUGCAAACUGUUGUUCCUGAAGAUAGGUGCAAGAAUGGUUUACAGGAAGUGAAGUUGCUGCUACCCUGGACUAUGAGGACCUCUGCACAUCGGCAGAGUCGAUUCACAGCCCAGAAGAUGAAAAGCAGAAGCAGGCAGCCAGGGCAUGACUUUGGGGACAGGUAGCACUCAAAGCGUGGGAAACCACAAACUUGGCCCAAUCACUGGCAAUCUCACCAAGACUCUGCAAGAGACUUCCCUUGAUUUCAGGGCCUAGCAGUCACUGAUUAGUCCCAGAAAUUGAACAAUGACUGUUCCUAACAAACUGAUUGGCCUCAGAAAAGGCUUCCUUUGGGAUUGAGCUUUCCAUGGAGGGGCCAGACAAGAAAUUUUCCAUAGAAGCAGAGGGAAGUUGGAGACCCUGCUGGAGUAGAUGCAUAUAAAAAUCAAGCAUCUGUGUUACUUGGCUUUUUGUUACUAUCAGAAAUAGCUGAAAGAAACCAUGCAUAAAGACAAGGGUUAUUUGGGCUCAAAAAUUUGGAGAUUCUAGUCCAUGAUCAGGUCGACUUACUGUUUCCAGGUAUCUGGUGGAGUGCCCAAUGGCAAUUUUACAAAGGGUGUGACUGGGCAAGACUGAUCACCUCUUUGUAAUCCAAGUAGCAAACAUUACAUAGGAAAGGGCGGAAUUCCACAUCCCCUUUAAGAACCGGCCCCCAAUGGCCUCUUUAGGGUUCUUUGAUGCCCCACCCACUGAGCCCCAUCUCUUCAAGGCCCCCACCUCUCAGUAGCACCACCCAAGGCACCCAGUGUAGAGCAGGAGGGGUUCUUGAGGCUGACCUUUCUAGGAAUGGAAAGCUGUGCGUGAUUUCCUGUCCAUAUCAUCAGGUCAAGAAUUGUGGGUAUCCUGAAAAACAGCCCUUCCUUAUGGAACACUAUGACUAGAGUGUUUUCCUUCUGCUUUUAACACAUGGUAGUCCAUUUUUGUCAAGAAUGAGGGGCUGCUGUCCUUCAUGAAUGCAACAGAAAGUCAAUGAUUCCUCCAACCCAUAUUCAUCUUGAGGUGCAAUGCCUUAAACUGGGACACAUGAGUUUCAUAUAAAUAAAUGCGGCCCUAACCAUUCAACACAGUGAAAAGAACACCAUGCCAUUUGGUUUUAUGCACUUGAAAAGUUAAUUAACCUCCUUCAGUUCCUCUGCUGGGAAGGUCUCUACGCAGCAGUUUGCAUUGUGAUCACAGGUCGUAUAAAUAAAGCAUUUGGCCCAGAGCCGACACACAUCAA